rnacentral:lncRNA from 1 species
GAUCAGGCCUUAUGAUAGAACAUAAGGCAGCUGUCUGCAAAGCAAGAAGAGGGUUAUCAUGGAGACCCGAAUUUGCUAGACCCAGCCUCCAGAAGCCUGCUGAAGCCACUCGGAACAUGGAACUUUGCGACAUCAGCUUGAGCUGAGUAUCAGACCAUAGCAACUGGAACCUGAGUCCUUCCUGAGUCUACCAGGAUAAAUUUCCAAGAUGAAGUCUAGCUCCAGAAGUUUUCAGAGAGACUUGCAAACAAGCCGAGCCCACCUGCGGUCCUCAAAGGCAUCCUCAGCAUGGAACACCCAGCCUCCUGUCUGCAUUGAGCAUGCCCAAGACAUACUGUUCAAGUCAGGUGAUGGAACACAGGCUGAACUUACCAGGUGAGGUAUCUGAAGUCCUCAACACUCCAAGUACCUGCCAUCAUAGCUGCCCUGCCUUAAGAAAAAAAUUGGAAUCUCAGCCAGGUUACCAGAGCUCAGCCCUGAGCAGUCAUACCCACACACACAUACCAGUCUUCAGAAGAGCUACUUACCCAUAGUUCCUCAGUCCUGAUCUCUACCACAUCUCUCAUCCUGGUCUCAGCAGCCUCUGGCAUUUCCCAAGCACACAGUUCACCAAACUGGACUAUUUCCUCUUUAUUAUCUACACAAAUAUUCUUAAUUAUUUCUCCUCCAACCCGAAGUACUUAUUUCUUAUUUAUGGGUGUAAAUAUAAAACCAGCAGGGCUCAUAUUUCACAGGGAGCCAUUCCAACAGCAUCCAGAACCUUCCAAAUUCCAGGAGCAGGAGAGCUGAUUCUCUACUGUUUCAUUAUAAAGGGAUUUACCAUAAAUAUUAGAAUUUGAAUUCCACCCAAGUAAUGCAUUAAUA